rnacentral:rRNA from 1 species
GACGAACGCUGGCGGCGUGCUUAACACAUGCAAGUCGAACGGAAAGGCCCUGCUUUUGUGGGGUGCUCGAGUGGCGAACGGGUGAGUAACACGUGAGUAACCUGCCCUUGACUUUGGGAUAACUUCAGGAAACUGGGGCUAAUACCGGAUAGGAGCUCCUGCUGCAUGGUGGGGGUUGGAAAGUUUCGGCGGUUGGGGAUGGACUCGCGGCUUAUCAGCUUGUUGGUGGGGUAGUGGCUUACCAAGGCUUUGACGGGUAGCCGGCCUGAGAGGGUGACCGGACACAGUGGGAAUGAGAUAAGGCCCAGACACAUACGGGAAGCAGGAGUGGGGAAUAUUGCACAAAGGGCGGAAGGCGGAAGAAGGAACGGCGCGGGCGGGAAGACGGGCUUAGGGUUGUAAACCGCUUUCGCCUGUGACGAAGCGUGAGUGACGGUAAUGGGUAAAGAAGCACCGGCUAACUACGUG